GCCCACGUCGUCCAGCGGUCAGGAUCCCGGCUUUUCACCCCGGGGAGGGCGGGUUCGACUCCCACCGUGGGUA
rnacentral:tRNA from 1 species